UGGCGAGUGGCGGACGGGUGAGUAAUGUCUGGGAAACUGCCUGAUGAGGGGGAUAACUACUGGAAACGGUAGCUAAUACCGCAUAAUGUCGCAAGACCAAAGUGGGGGGACCUUCGGGCCUCACACCAUCGGAUGUGCCCAGAUGGGAUUAGCUAGCAGGCAGGGUAAUGGCCUACCUGGGCGACGAUCCCUAGCUGGUCUGAGAGGAUGACCAGCCACACUGGAACUGAGACACGGUCCAG
rnacentral:rRNA from 1 species